UCCUAGCCCAGAUAGAAGCGGUAUCCUUUUGUGGUCUCGUAAAGAAAACGAGACCACAAAAGAUAUAGCGGAUAGCUGGAAUUAGC
rnacentral:sRNA from 1 species